CACGUAGGACGCAAGCGUUAUCCGGAAUUACUGGGCGUAAAGAGCGUGUAGGCGGCAUGGUAAGUCAACCGUGAAAGCUCCCGGCUAAACCGGGAGAGGUCGGAUGAGACUGCCAAGCUUGAGGGUCGUAGAGGGGUGUGGAAUUCCGGGUGUAGUGGUGAAAUGCGUAGAGAUCCGGAGGAACACCAGAGGCGAAGGCGGCACCCUGGACGACACCAGACGCUGAGACGCGACAGCACGGGGAGCGAACGGG
rnacentral:rRNA from 1 species